GUGAUGAUGACGAAUUUCUUCCUUUAUUCGUGAACAAUCUAAUUGAUAUAUAAAUCUGUGAUUUUACUAUGUUCAUAACUUCGAUGAACCAAAGCAAGUUAUAUAUCGACCUGUAUUUAAAUCAAAUUGGUUCUCUUCUUCUUCUUCUUCUUCUUCUUCUUUUGGUAUGCAAUAGUCUAUUGAAUUCGUUGAUUACAUACUGUUGGCAUAC
rnacentral:lncRNA from 1 species